rnacentral:miRNA from 1 species
AUAUCAACAAGCUUGUUACAAGCUGUUAAAUUGUAUACAAUCAUGAUAUAACAAUAUUGUAUACAAGUUGUUUAACAGCUUGUAACAAGCUUGUUGAUAUU